AAUUAAGCACUGCAUGUCUAAGUAUAAGCAAUUAUACAGCGAAACUGCGAAUGGCUCAUUAUAUAAGUUAUCGUUUAUUUGAUAGUACCUUACUACUUGGAUAACCGUGGUAAUUCUAGAGCUAAUACAUGCUAAAAAUCCCGACUCCGGAAGGGAUGUAUUUAUUAGAUUAAAAACCAAUGCCCCCUGGGCCCCUUGGUGAUUCAUGAUAACUAUUCGAAUCGCACGGCCUUGCGCCGGCGAUGGUUCAUUCAAAUUUCUUCCCUAUCAACUUUCGAUGUUUGGGUAUUGGCCAAACAUGGUUGCAACGGGUAACGGAGGGUUAGGGCUCGACCCCGGAGAAGGAGCCUGAGAAACGGCUACUACAUCCAAGGAAGGCAGCAGGCGCGCAAAUUACCCAAUCCCGAUUCGGGAGAGGUAGUGACAAUAAAUACUGAUACAGGGCUCUUUUGGGUCUUGUAAUUGGAAUGAGUACAAUUUAAAUCUCUUAACGAGGAACAAUUGGAGGGCAAGUCUGGUGCCAGCAGCCGCGGUAAUUCCAGCUCCAAUAGCGUAUAUUAAAGUUGUUGUGGUUAAAAAGCUCGUAGUUGAACCUUGGGCCUGGCUGGCCGGUCCGCCUCACCGCGUGCACUGGUCCGGCCGGGCCUUUCCCUCUGUGGAACCCCAUGCCCUUCACUGGGCGUGGCGGGGAAACAAGACGUUUACUUUGAAAAAAUUAGAGUGCUCCAGGCAGGCCUAUGCUCGAAUACAUUAGCAUGGAAUAAUGAAAUAGGACGCGUGGUUCUAUUUUGUUGGUUUCUAGGACCGCCGUAAUGAUUAAUAGGGACAGUCGGGGGCAUCAGUAUUCAAUUGUCAGAGGUGAAAUUCUUGGAUUUAUUGAAGACUAACUACUGCGAAAGCAUUUGCCAAGGAUGUUUUCAUUAAUCAGGAACGAAAGUUAGGGGAUCGAAGACGAUCAGAUACCGUCGUAGUCUUAACCAUAAACUAUGCCGACUAGGGAUCGGACGAUGUUAUUUUUUGACGCGUUCGGCACCUUACGAGAAAUCAAAGUGCUUGGGCUCCAGGGGGAGUAUGGUCGCAAGGCUGAAACUUAAAGAAAUUGACGGAAGGGCACCACCAGGGGUGGAGCCUGCGGCUUAAUUUGACUCAACACGGGGAAACUCACCAGGUCCAGACACAAUGAGGAUUGACAGAUUGAGAGCUCUUUCUUGAUUUUGUGGGUGGUGGUGCAUGGCCGUUUUUAGUUGGUGGAGUGAUUUGUCUGCUUAAUUGCGAUAACGAACGAGACCUUAUCCUGCUAAAUAGCCCGUAUUGCUUUGGCAGUACGCCGGCUUCUUAGAGGGACUAUCGGCUCAAGCCGAUGGAAGUUUGAGGCAAAAACAGGUUAACCUACACAGGCCUGUAACAGUGGGAUUGACACGCUAGUCUAGUCACGUCCUCCGUGGGGAAGUCCCCAUCUAACGGGCGGAGGAGGCUCGCGAGAGCUCAGUGGCAGGCGACACCACCUGGAACAGGGAACGCCUAACCGGACGCGUCAGUCUUGACGCUUCGGCGGCCGAUCCUGUGGCGAGCUCGGGUAACGCCGAGCCGUCGCAACGUGCGCAAAGGGGUGGGCCGACUCUGUCGGCUUGAGGGACGUACUAUCCUAUGGGGAACCAUACUUGUGCAGUGAANGCCGUAGACUAAGCUGUAUGGGGGCUGACCGACGCUGCAGUCAGUCAGCCGGAUCGCUUACAUAAAAUUGUGCUUAAACAAAAGUUGUCCGUCGAAAGACGACAGCUACGAUCUCGANGGCUUNGCNNAUNGNUUUCACUUGACGCAACACAUUUCAAAAUGGANGUUACUUGGNAGNAUUCAUUCUCUGGCUCUGGCUCUGUNAGNCCUCAANCGCGGUCCUUGUCCUNCAUGNNUUUGGCCAGUA
rnacentral:rRNA from 1 species